rnacentral:rRNA from 1 species
UGGGGAAUAUUGCACAAUGGGGGAAACCCUGAUGCAGCGACGCCGCGUGAACGAAGAAGGUAUUCGUAUCGUAAAGUUCUGUCCUAUGGGAAGAUAAUGACAGUACCAUAGAAGAAAGCUCCGGCUAAAUACGUGCCAGCAGCCGCGGUAAUAAGUAUGGAGCGAGCGUUGUCCGGAAUUAUUGGGCGUAAAGGGUACGCAGGCGGUUUAAUAAGUCGAAUGUUAAAGAUCGGGGCUCAACCCCGCAAAGCAUUGGAAACUGAUAAACUUGAGUAGUGGAGAGGAAAGUGGAAUUCCUAGUGUAGUGGUGAAAUACGUAGAUAUUAGGAGGAAUACCAGUAGCGAAGGCGACUUUCUGGACACAAACUGACGCUGAGGUACGAAAGCGUGGGGAGCAAACAGG